UUUUUUUUUUUUUUUUUUUUUGGUCUUUUGGCUUUUUAGGGCUGACCCGUGGCAUAUGGAAGUUCCCAGGCUAGGGAUAUAAUUGGAGAUGUUGCCGCCAGCCUAUGCCAGAGCCACAGCAACCCCAGAUCUGAGCCAUGUCUGUGACCUGCACCACAGCUCACGGCAACGACAGAUCCUUAACCACUGAGUGAGGCCAGGGAUCGAACCCGCAAUCUCAUGGUUCCUAGCCAGAUUCAUUUCCACUGCGCCACAAUUGAAACUCCGAGACCGCCUGCCUACGCCAGAGCCACAGCAACGCAGGAUCCGAGCCGCGUCUGCAAACUACACCACAGCUCACAGCAACGCCGGAUCGUUAACCCACUGAGCAAGGGCAGGAACCGAACCCGCAACCUCAUGGUUCUUAGUCGGAUUCAUUAACCACUGUGCCACGACGGGAACUCCAGUCCAGUUCUUUUAAGGACAGUCCCUUUUCUUAAUUUUUUGAACUGGGAACCAGGCUUGCAUUCCCGAAUGCUACUGGUACUGGAAGAGAUGUGCAGUUAAAACCAGUGAACUGAAAUUGUGCAGUGAAAUUCUUCCUAGAACUUAUAUCCUUGGGGGUAUUUAAAUAGCGAUGUCCAAGGCUGUAAACACAGCUGAGAAAUGCUGUUACUGCAUUUACGAAUCUCUUUUCUGUAAUAUUAAGACAUCUUGAUUUAAUUGGUAAGCUGCGCUGUGAUAACAUUCAAUUUAAAUCAGGUUUGUGGACUGGGAGAUCAUAAGGCAAUCUCUCACGGAUCAAGGAUUGUUGAUGAAGUCUACCUUAUUGCCGUGUGUCAGAAAUUAAAUCACUGUCUACUGUCAUGUACCGAUCGAUCAGAUUCUCUUUUUGACAGUAGGAUGCUAGUGGGGGGAAGCAGAGAAAGUCAGGAUAUAAAAUAGAAUUUUACCACUUCUGUUAUUGUGCUGCUUACUUUGUGUUAUUGGAAGGGCUCUGUCUCACUGCACUGGGUAUUAUGAGCCAGCACUUUAUAGGAAACAAAACACACACAGGCAUACACAUAGAGACACACGCACGCACCCCAAGACUGGAAAUCUGAAGAAAAUAAAAUACAAAGGAAAGUACAAUUUUGUCUUAAAAAUUCCCAAGAGCCUUGGGUUCCUAUGUUUAGAAUUACUUCCAAAGUAAACUUUCUUCUGCAUUGUCCAUCUAUUAUUAGUAAAUGGGCCACAAAUAGCUUUUCUGAAAAGGAAGUAGAAAUGAGUGUUUGCUGAGUUCCCUGAAGUCAUGUACCAAAGAAGUACUAUCACUGAUAUCUUUGGGCUUGCAUGGAAAUGGAGGAGCUCAUUCAAAAUGUGGAGCCUUUCACUAUUAAAGCUUCACAUGAACCUAAAUUGAUAUAGAAUCAAAGCUUUUUUGAUAUCAAGACAGAAAGAGAUUAUGUCAGCACCCCAGGUCUUGAAAAUGUUUGUGAAACAUCUGACUUCCUAUUUCAAUAACCCUGCUAGAAUGCAUCUCAAAGUUGGUCAAAUUAUAGAGUUCUUUUACUGUUUCAUUGAAACUGGGCUUAAUUGGAGCAUACACUCCAUGGAAAAUUAUGGAUGCGAUUGCAUUAACCCUGGUCACCAUGGUGAUAUGCUGAGACCAGCUCAGCAGGAUGGGGCUGAAUGAAGAACAUGUGCUGUGAAACUUAAGGAAAAAAGUUAACAUAAAACAAGACACAGAGACAUUUAUCUUAAGUAAAGGUGGGAACAGGGGGACUCAAGUUCUCAGGGACCAAGAGCACUGCCUCAAGAAACCACACGGCUUUUAUUGUGUUCUUUAGGAUGACGUCAAGUGAGGAGGGGGCUAUAGGUGGAGGAUAUAGGUGUUUUUUUUAUUAGUUUAUACAUUCUUUUAUUAUUUUAAAAGUCACAUAGCUGGUAGAUGGUUAAGCUUUUACUCUGACCUUUAGGCAUUUAACAAUCAUUAGCAGUUGAGGAAGCUAUCUAUGCAUAGUAUUUCAGAGAAUCCUCUCUGCUUCAGCAAAGGGCAUGCCUAUUUGCAGCACCCUGGCGUGCCUAGGUUUGCACCUUGGUUCUCUUUGCUAAUGCAUAUUCUGCUAAUUACUGCUCAUAGACCACUUGGCCAGGAGGUUCUUCUUUCUCUUAUUCUUUAGAGGACAUAUCAUGCUUGUGCAAAUGGUGUGCCAAUCUGCACAGUUCCUGUGUGCCCAGACCAACGCAUUAUGUCCUCAUUCAGCUGACCCUAUGAAUAACUUAUGCCUUUAGGUCUUUGUUCUUAAACUUAAGUCUUUUACCAGCACUGUGACUGUUUUUCAAGCAGGAAGGUGGGGUAAAAGUAAAGCAGGACAAGAUGGAGUUUUCAGCAAAGAGGCUAAGAAAAUAUUGUGGAAACGUCUCGUGACAGUGAUAUAUACCUAUAAGCUUGGUUGAAAACACUGUAAGGCAGGCAAACUAGGCAUUUUUUUACUCUUUUUAGUACAGGAAACUCCCUCUUUACAGAGCGUUCUGACUUUUUUUAGUUUCUAGUAUUCUAGCAGGUGGCUACCUUCUUGAGUGUACAGUCAGUUCCCUGGGCACUGACUUGCAUCUUUCAGUGGGAUUCUGUGGAAAGAUGUUGUGUGUGUGCCAACACAGAUCUUGGGAUCCUUCAAAGGAUUCUCAAAACCUCUCAAUGGCCAAUCAGCAGGGAAGUAGUGGUGAAUGAGGUAGAAGCCCUUGGUGAAUGAAGUGAUGGUCUGGAAGGGGCUAUAAAAUCUGGAUAAUCAUUCUGUUAAUUUUCUCUGUGACCUUGGCAGAUGACUAUUUUUCUGCCUCGGCAAAGAAAAUUCUACUGCUUUUGCAGGAAGGAAUCAUGCAAAUGGCCAUAAGAAACCUUGAAGCCAUAAAAUGCAAUAGGGAUGCUAAAUAUACACCACCUAGGAUGUGAUUUUCCUCUGUUCUUGGGAAUACUUUUUCUAGGCAUAAAUGGAUCAGGGGGGAAUAGCACUCUGAAGCUCUAAGAAGGAAAGGAGUGUUAAGCGGGAUUAUCAGUGUGCUUAGUCACAAUUAAGGAAGCUGCUGUGGCAUUAGUGACGCACCCUUCAUCAGGAUGGCAAAGCUCUUUCAUACCGAGCUUUUGAUUUUUUCCUCCCUGUUCAGUUUGUUAGAAGUCUCUCUUUUGUGAUAGGAGAAAAUGACAAUUAUCCUCCUCUUGUGUUGUUUCCAUUUUUGGUAAGCAGUGGGCAGAAUUUUCAUUGGAUACCAUUUCAAAGGCUGUUUUUGUGAAAAAUAAUUCCCUCUUGACAGUGGACAAAUGGUAGGGAGAGGCUAUAGCGGCUUUUAUUUCACCAAGUUCAGCCAUCUCCAAAGGCUAAAUUCAGUGGCUGUCCCACAGACAUUGGGUAUCUAGUUGUUGCCACAAUUUACCUGUGAAUUUCUAGCCUUCAAGCUUUACUGAAUGUUGCAUUAAGCUGUUUUUGACCUGUGAGGGUGCCCACAUUCUUGUAGGUCGGUUUCAUCACUUGUGUCAGUUUCAUCCCGUCCUCCUCCCCUGUUCCAUUGAGUUUGUUUGGACUUGGGAGGAAUGCAAAUUAUUUUUAAUGCAGGGUUAGUGUGAACAAAUUAUAGUCAUGUGAUAAAAUUUGUAAGAAUAGCAGUGCACACUGAGGCCAGUAUGCAGAUUUUGGAUUAUCUGCUCUUUUGUUAUAUCUGUUGUAUAGCUCUUUACUGUGGGUACAAAUAAGAAGGAGCCAACUGGACUUCCUGUCUGGAGAGAGAUUAAAAACGAAAUUGGGAAUGCAAACUUGCAGAGGUUGCAAACUGACCCUGUAGGGCUGAAUGUGGCUCCUGUCUGUAUUCUGUUCAGUUGUUAUAAAUUUAAAUUCAGCUGCAUUUAAGUGGCUUUCCAGUGCUGUUUGCUACAGUCGCCAUUGCUCCUUAAUGUCUUUUAUACUCUGCCUGUUGCACUGCUUUAUUGCCUUGUGCUUUCUGAAUGAAUUUGAGUUGGCAGCCUCAGUUGAAAGACUCAUUCUUCUAGGAAGCUGUGUGUGUGUCUAUGCUAAGGGCUUGCUCUUUUUCUCUUACGGCAGGCAGGAAAGAAUAUCUACACCAGAACAAUAAUUGGAAACCGAAAGAGUAAAAUGAAAAUAAGGACAAAAGGAAAAGGUCGUAGAGGGGAGAGAGAAAUGGAGAGUUGCUAUUUAAUAGGUGUAUGUUUCAGUUAUGCAAAAUGGUUAAGUUCAAGAGGUCUGCUGUACAGCACUGUGGCUAAAGUUAACAGUACUGCGAGGUAUGCUUAAAACAUUGUCGAGAGGGUAGAUCUCAUGUUAAGUGUUCUUACUAUAAUAAUAUAAUAAUAAUAAUAAUAAUAAAAGCAAAAGGCAGUAUAUCAAAAUCAGGGAAAUAAUGAUAUAAAGAAAAUUAAAUAGAAAUCAUAUACUUUUAUUUCUAUGAGAAUGCCUAUAAA
rnacentral:lncRNA from 1 species